rnacentral:rRNA from 1 species
AUGGAGGAGGAAGCAGGUGAUGAGACGGAGGAAACAUUUGUAACCGAGAGGAACUGCAGCUCGUACAAUGGUGGUGGCAAAGAGGUAGGCGAUUCGUGCGAACCUGGCGCUAGGAGUAUGGCCCGCGACAUGGCACCGAGGAUGGAGAGGAAGACAGCGUGGUCGUGUCAAGACAAAAGGGUCUUAUUGGACAUGGAGGUGAUGUUCCCGUUCUUCAUAUUAAAACCUCAUUCCAUGAUAUUCGUCAGACAUAAUUUUGCAGCUGUGUUGUGUGAGAUUCAGAACAAGACACCUGUACCAUUGGUUAGAAUGAAUCGGCAGUAG